rnacentral:rRNA from 2 species
UGAGGCACCCAUUAGGGAAUUUUCCCCCAAUGGACGAAAAUUUUGAUGGAGCAACCCCCGCGUGAGUGAAGAAGGGUUUCGGCNCGUAAAACUCUGUUGUUAAAGAAGAACAUAUCUGAGAGUAACUGUUCAGGUAUUGACGGUAUUUAACCAGAAAGCCACGGCUAACUACGUGCCAGCAGCCGCGGUAAUACGUAGGUGGCAAGCGUUGUCCGGAUUUAUUGGGCGUAAAGCGAGCGCAGGCGGUUUUUUAAGUCUGAUGUGAAAGCCUUCGGCUCAACCGAAGAAGUGCAUCGGAAACUGGGAAACUUGAGUGCAGAAGAGGACAGUGGAACUCCAUGUGUAGCGGUGAAAUGCGUAGAUAUAUGGAAGAACACCAGUGGCGAAGGCGGCUGUCUGGUCUGUAACUGACGCUGAGGCUCGAAAGUAUGGGUAGCAAACAGGAUUAGAUACCCUGGUAGUCCAUACCGUAAACGAUGAAUGCUAAGUGUUGGAGGGUUUCCGCCCUUCAGUGCUGCAGCUAACGCAUUAAGCAUUCCGCCUGGGGAGUACGGCCGCAAGGCUGAAACUCAAAGGAAUUGACGGGGGCCCGCACAAGCGGUGGAGCAUGUGGUUUAAUUCGAAGCUACGCGAAGAACCUUACCAGGUCUUGACAUACUAUGCAAAUCUAAGAGAUUAGACGUUCCCUUCGGGGACAUGGAUACAGGUGGUGCAUGGUUGUCGUCAGCUCGUGUCGUGAGAUGUUGGGUUAAGUCCCGCAACGAGCGCAACCCUUAUUAUCAGUUGCCAGCAUUAAGUUGGGCACUCUGGUGAGACUGCCGGUGACAAACCGGAGGAAGGUGGGGAUGACGUCAAAUCAUCAUGCCCCUUAUGACCUGGGCUACACACGUGCUACAAUGGAUGGUACAACGAGUUGCGAACUCGCGAGAGUAAGCUAAUCUCUUAAAGCCAUUCUCAGUUCGGAUUGUAGGCUGCAACUCGCCUACAUGAAGUCGGAAUCGCUAGUAAUCGCGGAUCAGCAUGCCGCGGUGAAUACGUUCCCGGGCCUUGUACACACCGCCCGUCACACCAUGAGAGUUUGUAACACCCAAAGUCGGUGGGGUAACC